GUUAGGGUUUUUGAAAGGUUUUGGAGGAGCCAAAGCUAAUAGGAAGGUCCAAACCUUAAGCAAGAACACCAAAGAGUAUUGGCUAAGCGUAACUGGACUGAACGUUGGAGGGUGAAAACCUGCUGAGCGCUAAGGACUCCAAGUAAGUGCAAGGGCAAGGCAGAGCAUUGAGCGCUGGAGUCUUCCUUGCAAAUGUACAUGUGGACCGACCUUUUGGGGAAGCCGUUUUAUUUUU